rnacentral:rRNA from 1 species
GAUGAACGCUGGCGGCGUGCUUAACACAUGCAAGUCGAACGGAAAGGCCCAAGCUUGCUUGGGUACUCGAGUGGCGAACGGGUGAGUAACACGUGGGUGAUCUGCCCUGCACUUCGGGAUAAGCCUGGGAAACUGGGUCUAAUACCGGAUAGGACCACUUCUUGGAUGUUGUGGUGGAAAGUUUUUUCGGUGUGGGAUGAGCUCGCGGCCUAUCAGCUUGUUGGUGGGGUAAUGGCCUACCAAGGCGUCGACGGGUAGCCGGCCUGAGAGGGUGUACGGCCACAUUGGGACUGAGAUACGGCCCAGACUCCUACGGGAGGCAGCAGUGGGGAAUAUUGCACAAUGGGCGCAAGCCUGAUGCAGCGACGCCGCGUGGGGGAUGACGGCCUUCGGGUUGUAAACUCCUUUCGCUAGGGACGAAGCGUUUUGUGACGGUACCUGGAGAAGGAGCACCGGCUAACUACGUG